CGCGUAGGUGGUUUGUUAAGCGAGAUGUGAAAGCCCCGGGCUUAACCUGGGAACGGCAUUUCGAACUGGCAGACUAGAGUGUGGUAGAGGGUAGUGGAAUUUCCUGUGUAGCGGUGAAAUGCGUAGAUAUAGGAAGGAACACCAGUGGCGAAGGCGGCUACCUGGACCAACACUGACACUGAGGUGCGAAAGCGUGGGGAGGCAAACA
rnacentral:rRNA from 1 species